rnacentral:misc_RNA from 1 species
CUCUCUGUCUGCGUCUCUCGGAUAGGAAAAGGAAAGAACGCGUUUUCUUGGAAAUGAAAACACCAAGAACGAGAAACUUGUAAGCCGUGUUGAUCUUUCUCAUUCUUCUGAAUCUUUGUAUUUCCAUUUCAAUUACACAUUUUACAUUUGCGCCCCUUUAAUUGCUUUCCUCAUUCUUGCUACCAAUCUCUUCACUUCCUUCCACUUCAAAUGCCAAUAAAUGUUAUAUAACAACCAUUAAUAGUCUGUAUAUCGCUUUCACCCAUCAAUUGAACCCAUCUUCUGUUUAAUCGGCAUUCAAUAAUCACAAUGGGUCGUUUCUGGACGCUCCCUGUUGUUUUGUUCAUUUUGUUUUCCGUUCUUUAUGCUCCUCUCUGCCUCGGGAUUCGUUCUAUACCGGGGAGGGAUUUGAACGCUGGUGAUGGUUUUGAAAUGGUUGGGCUCCGAUUCGCAGAGGCGCCGGACUACCGUAAUGGGAUGGAAUGCCCGGUGUCAGGCAAUGGGCAGUUUGUGUCUUCUUGUGACCCUUCUUUGGUUCACGUAGCCGUGACACUGGACUCGGAGUAUCUUCGCGGGUCAAUCGCCGCUGUACACUCCGUUCUAAAACACGCUUCCUGCCCUGAAAACGUGUUCUUCCAUUUUAUUGCGGCGGAGUUCGAUCCGGCGAGUCCGCGAGUUCUGAGCCAACUCGUUCGAUCCACUUUCCCUUCACUCCGUUUCAAGGUUUAUAUAUUCAGAGAAGACACCGUAAUCAAUCUAAUCUCUUCAUCAAUUCGUCAAGCCCUAGAAAACCCAUUAAAUUACGCAAGAAACUAUCUCGGGGAUAUCCUAGAUCCCUGCGUUGACCGAGUCAUCUACCUCGACUCCGAUGUGGUUGUUGUGGACGAUAUAUACAAGCUUUGGAAUACAACCCUUGCUGGGUCAAGAAUCAUUGGCGCACCUGA